AGAAACACAUUGGGAGGACUUUGUGAAAUAAUUUAUCAUCUAAAGGAGUUUAUAAGAUUGUUGACCGAACAAAUACAUGCAAAGUGAUCGUUGAACCCUAACUUUGGCAAUAUUUCUCAAAUAUUCAAAUCGAACUUUUACCGCAUUGUAUUACCUUUUUAUGCAAGAUAACGUGAUUAAAACCAAAACCUCCUGUGUUACUUAAGUUAAGAUUAAUUCAACCAUCGAACGGCGGUGAUAUCUUACAAUCCCUGUGGAUACGAUAACAAAAACCUGACACUUAAAAUUACAACUAACA
rnacentral:lncRNA from 1 species